UGCUAAGAUGUUGUUCCUGCUUUUAAUUAUUUCUCUGCUCAAAGGGAAUGCUGACGCAAAUACUAUAAAUCCACUGGUCCCAGAGAAGCACAUCACGGAAGGAGACAAUGUUACCUUCACCUGUGAUUACAGUGGACGUGUUAACACUUUGCAGUGGUAUCGACAAUAUCCAGGAUCUAGAAUAGAGUUGCUUAUAUUUGUCACUGAGCUCAGUGGCCGGUCAAAGCCUGCACUUCGACUUUCAUCUGUGGCUGAUGAAACCAAUAAACGCAUGAAUCUCAGCAUCUUUCAGACUGAAAUAGAAGAUUCUGCUCUGUACUACUGUGCCCUGGUGCCCACAGUGACGGGAAACACUGCAACACUUUACAAGGGCUAUACGGUUCUUAGUGACAUCGAACAAAUGGAUCUGAAGAUCUCCUCUGCUGUAGAGACAGAUUCUGCCAUGUACUACUGUGCCCUGAUGCCCACAGUGACAGGAAAUCUAAUUGCAUCAUACAAAAAUGUCCCAUGUCAUCAUUAA